rnacentral:lncRNA from 1 species
AUAGUGAUGUUAGACAAAGUUGGUUUAAAACUAUUAUUUAUUAAUGGUGCUGUUCUCCAAUGUAUUUCAAGUCAUUCCUUCCUUCAGUGCUUUCCCACCAAGGGUGGGGCUGGAGAGGGGAAAAAUUUGCAAAGGCUCUAGCCUAUGAAUAAUGAAUUGAGGACAUUUAACAAAAAAGAAACAAGAGUGGCCUCCAGCAAUGAUAUUUUACAGGGAAGUGUUUGUUAUGCAGUCUUUGCUCAGCUGGAUGUGAACUUAAUUCACUGGUCUUCAUGUCCAAAAGUUUAGUCCUUUGGGGGAAGAAAGGGAAUGAAACAUAUACAUAAAAGAAACAUCUACGUUUAAUGAGCUGGUGAUUAUUGGCAGGGGAUAUUUUCUGACUAUCAGGAUCCUUCUAGGAUCACUGUUGCUCUGGACUGACAAGCCCAGGGGCUGAACUCAGAACUUAUGAGCAGCUCUCAUUGAUGGUAAUGGGAACUGCACGUGCAGCUGAGGGUAAAAUCAGGCUCAUGCCUUGGGAUGUUUUUCCAUAUACAUGGAAAGAGAUGAUAGAUUUGAGGGAGCAAGAGAUUGAGAGAGGUAUUAGAUACAGGUUGAUAUGCAGUCUUCCUUUCCCACGGCAUAUUUCUCCUUUGUUCCCAGUUAGCUGCAAAACAGAGGUAUGAUGCUCCUUGAUUGUGGUGUUAGUAUCUGAUAGGCAUUCUGGAGAGAUAAAUUGCUACACAGGACUCAAGGUAGUGCAGAAUCUGGUACUUGUGUGGAUGUGUAACGUUAGAGGUGUUUUCAGUAUAGAGUCCUCCAAUCCCCAGAGUGGUAUAUAAAGGGGAACUGCUUUUCUCCUUUAGGCCCAGCCAUCAGCUUGAAAUAGCUCAGCCAUAGGCAGUAGCUACAUCAGAUAUGAGGUAGUGCCAGCAAGAGGAGAGACUUAAUCUGCUCUCCCACACAGACAGUGUUCUGAUCAAAAUACACAGAGAUUAUACGUGGGUACAGACAGGCACAAGCUGUCUCUCAACAUUAUAGAUAUGCAUAUUUGCUCUCGUUAUAGACCUCUCUUGUGCAGUGCCCAUGUGAGUCAUUGCUUAUAGCACCAUAUAAGGUAGAGUGAGUAGCAGAACCUGCACACCACACAUCAACACGUGCACAUGAAGAAAGAGCAACAAGGUAUGAAGCUCUUACUGCCAGGAGCCUGGGGUGUUGCCCUCUGUCAACUUGGGAAGGUAGGAAUGAUUUAAGAACUCCUCCCAAGAAACAGCCAACCAAAGACUGCAUCAUGUCACCAGGGUUUUUUUUUUGGUUCAAGAGGCGUAUUUUAUGUAACUGUUUUCAAGUCUAAGCCUGGUUUUUAAUGAGUAGUAGGUUUUCUCUCUCUGAAGCCAGGCUCCCUGAGUCCUGUGAGGCUGACUACCAGCUGCUCUGUUCCCUGAGCAAGAAUAAACUCUAAUUUAAAACUGCAAAAGCUUUAAAAUGAGCUAAACUCGGGCAUGCUGCAUCCCCCUUUCCACUUGCUUCACUGGGUAAAUGAGCACACAAGCUGCAGGGCAGGGAAAAUCAGAGCUUUAUAGUUAGAAAUGCAGGGGAUGGAUAGAAAAUAAAUGUUAUCAGGCCCCUGCUGCUUUCUUUCUAGUAAGGGUUAAUAACACAGGCAAAUAUUUAAAUGACUAAAAGGCAUCACUACCUUUAAUAUGCAACCCAUUAGGGUCCUUUUGUUCCCCAAAAGAAGUCGAGUCUCUUGGGACAUCAUCCAAGCCCACAUUUAAGCUUGUUUAAAUAGAAGUCCCUGGUUAAGUGCUGCCCCUGAAUUUUUUCUGUGUAAGGUCAUUAAAUAUCAUGUACUCAAAAUUGGCAAGGGAAAAAUGGAAUGGGAACUUGUAAUCUCAUUUAUUAAUGACUAUACACAACUCUCUGAUGCCUCUCCCUUUUGUGACUCAAACGGUUGCUCUAUAAAUAAGCUUAGUCCUGUCAGCCUUGACUUUGAGAGCAGCCUGGAUGUGUUAGAAAUGAAAAUGUGCUCUUGCAGAAAAUGGUGAUCACAUAAAAAUAAAUUACUGGGAAAGAAAAUGUUGGGUGAAAAAUUCCAGAACUGGGAGUCAAAAAUGCCAUGUUUCAGUCCUCUGAGGGUUGGGGUGUUACACACCCCUACCCUUGCCUCUGGCCUGAGCUUCCCAGCCAAACCAUCCUUACCUGGGGAGAUGCAUUGUCAUGUACCCAAAGGAAAGGGGAUUGUCCAGGAAGGAUCCCAAUGGAGAGACUCAGAGAGACAAUACACAGACUCCCAUGAGGUAAUGUUAUGGCACUUCCAAAUCAAAGAUUGUGCUUUUUAAGCCUUUUUUUUUUUUUUAUUCCAUAUUAGUUUUCUUCUGAAAACUUGAAACAUUUUGUAGUAAAUUCUGUCAUUCCUCCCCCAGUUUGUUUUUCUACUGGAACAGCCACAAUUUCUAACUAGGUCUACCUGUAAUUUAUGAGGGAUAAAGCACAUGAAAUAAUGCCCUAAUGCCCUAUCCAUGCAUCUACUUUGUUGCUGCUUUCUCUCUUGCCUUUAUGCAUAGGUUGAUGCAUGCACAUACACACAUGCAGAAACACCCCAAAGUUCCCUGCUGCUUUUCUUUUUGGCAGUGAAUUCCCAAUCUUCUCCUACUCAUUCUCCCUUUAAUCCCAUGCAGCCACAAUAGCCACCUAUUGAGAACAGGAUUGCAUGAGGGUCUGUGCCUACGCAUGCAGAGAAACUGUGGGUAAUAUACAGCAUCUAUUUUUGAACAGAAUGCCCUUAACCUGCUGCAGAUGCUUUAUUGUACACUGGCACAGAUGUAUCACAUGCCAGUGUGCUUUCAGUUGAGCAGAGCAAUAGAAAUACCUGCAGGGCAUGAAUCUAAUUGCCUUUGUUGUACCUGAUGAAGAUAACUGCACGCUGCAGACACUUUCCUUGCCAGCUCCUUUACUUCCACUGAGACUCAUUUACAAUGUCACAAAUUAACACAGGCUUGAGCCACAUUUUCAGUGAGGCUCAGUGGGGCACGGCUGUUCCAAAUGAUGCUCAUGUGUCUGCAGAAAGGUAGGAGUGAGAAAAUACUGGGAUAGCACGUGUAGGAGGGCUCAGGAAACCUUCUAGCAGACCUGCAUAUUGGCUUGCUGUUGCUCUAGCCUGUUCUAGUUUACAUAGGAAAAGCUAUUCUUUUAACUGUUAGGCAGCAUGUUCCUGUCAACAAAGAGGGCCCUCGAAGAGCAGAAAGGCAAAGGAGGCAAAGGUGAAGGAGGGAUGCCUGCAGCCACUGAGGGGCUGUGCUGUACACCAGGUACCAAAGGAGGUGGUGAAGGCAAACCCUUGCUCCAAAGUAGGGCCAGCCAAGCCCAAGCCAAGGUGGGGACACCCUGGCCUGUGUCACAUGAUGCUGGCUGCACCCCAGCAUGCUGAAAAGAUCUUUCCAAAGGAACAAACCUUUGCCUGGCAUUCUUGGGAAUUUAAUCCCAGCAAU